AGGAAUUUAUUUAAUUAUAAUAUUUGAUUUGCAUUCAAAAGGUGUCUUUGACUUUUCUUG
rnacentral:tRNA from 1 species